GGAGAGGUCGCAUAGUUGGUCUAGUGCGGCGGUCUUGAAAACCGCUAGGGCCUUAUAGGUCCUCGCGAGUUCGAAUCUCGCCCUCUCCG
rnacentral:tRNA from 1 species